rnacentral:rRNA from 1 species
CCUACGGGAGGCAGCAGUGAGGAAUAUUGGUCAAUGGGCGAGAGCCUGAACCAGCCAAGUCGCGUGAGGGAGUACUGCCCUAUGGGUUGUAAACCUCUUUUGUCGGGGAGCAAAAGCCGGACGUUUCCGGCUGUUAGAUUACCCGUAUAAAAAGCAUCGGCUAACUCCGUGCCAGCAGCCGCGGUAAUACGGAGGAUGCGGGCGUUAUCCGGAUUUAUUGGGUUUAAAGGGUGCGCAGGCGGAUUUUUAAGUCAGCGGUCAAAUCGUGGGGCUCAACCCCAUCCAGCCGUUGAAACUGGGGAUCUAGAGUGUGCGAGAGGUAUGCGGAAUGCGUGGUGUAGCGGUGAAAUGCAUAGAUAUCACGCAGAACCCCGAUUGCGAAGGCAGCAUACCGGUGCACAACUGACGCUCAGGCACGAAAGCGUGGGUAUCGAACAGGAUUAGAUACCCUUGUAGUC